rnacentral:piRNA from 1 species
UGGAAACCCUCUCGUCAGAGGAGAGC